rnacentral:misc_RNA from 1 species
GCAAACUUGGUCAUUUAGAGGAAGUAAAAGUCGUAACAAGGUAACCGUAGGUGAACCUGCGGUUGGAUCAUUAACUAGAAGUGACUGGAAUUCAGGACUGCGAUUAGCAGGACUGAAUGGAAUGUCACUUUAAAAAUCUGGUGGGAGGGAUUCUCUGUUUUGUUCAUUAGGGUUAAUAACCCUUGUUUAUGAAAAUAGGCGAAUCACUCUCACUUUACACACCAAAGCCUAGUGUCAUUCUCUGGUAUCAUUCUCUGAUACUGGAAAAUGGGACUAGGAUUAAUCGUGAACAGUUUCCUAUUCGUGGUUGGAGUGAGUAUUCACUCCUGCUACCUACUAAACACUUAUCAUUCCGUAUGCGAUUAGUUUUAUUUGUGAGACUCUUGAAUGGACUUCGUCCACCCAAGAUCCCCCCACAAACCUUAGAAAUCUAAUACAACUUUUGACAAUGGAUCUCUAGGCUCUUGCAUCGAUGAAGAACGCAGC